rfam:Methanobrevibacter filiformis strain DSM 11501 MBFIL_contig000225, whole genome shotgun sequence.
AAUCUGUUUGAUCCUGGCAGAGGCUACUGCUAUUGGGGUUCGAUUAAGCCAUGCAAGUCGAACGAAUUUAUAUUCGUGGCGUACGGCUCAGUAACACGUGGAUAACCUACCCUUAGG